UACGUAGGGUGCGAGCGUUAAUCGGAAUUACUGGGCGUAAAGCGUGCGCAGGCGGUUCGUUGUGUCGGCGGUGAAAGCCCCGGGCUCAACCUGGGAAUGGCCGUUGAAACUGGCGAACUGGAGUGUGGCAGAGGGGGGGUGGAAUUCCGCGUGUAGCAGUGAAAUGCGUAGAGAUGCGGAGGAACACCGAUGGCGAAGGCAGCCCCCUGGGCUAACACUGACGCUCAGGCACGAAAGCGUGGGGAGCAAACAGG
rnacentral:rRNA from 1 species